CAAGGAAUUUUCCCCAAUGGGCGAAAGCCUGAGGGAGCAACGCCGCGUGGAGGAUGACGGCUUUCGGGUUGUAAACUCCUUUUUAUGGGGACGAUAAUGACGGUACCCAUGGAAUAAGCCCCGGCUAACUACGUGCCAGCAGCCGCGGUAAUACGUAGGGGGCAAGCGUUGUCCGGACUUACUGGGCGUAAAGCGCGUGCAGGCGGAUUGGUAUGUGCCGUGUGAAAGCUCCCGGCUUGCCUGGGAGAGGUCGCGGUAGACAGCCGAUCUGGAGGCUCGGAGAGGUUCGUGGAAUUCCCGGUGUAGUGGUGAAAUGCGUAGAUAUCGGGAGGAACACCAGUGGCGCAAGCGGCGAACUGGCCGAGACCUGACGCUGAGACGCGACGGCGUGGGGAGCAAACCGG
rnacentral:rRNA from 1 species